CUGGGAUAUCUGCAGCACCGCUGUGGUGAUUAGCAGAGUUGCCUUGUGGUUGUAAGGCUGUAUUUUGAACUUGUGUAGAUGAUGGCUUGCCUUCCUUGUGAGCCUUGUUUUACCACCACAGCAGACUUGUCAAGAAGGGAUGUGCAAGCAAUGCAGUAAUAACACCAACCCUUGUUCAGAAGAUCAGAUAUAAUCCUGAAUGACUAAGGAACAGGCUGGAGGAAACCUGCUUUUGAGGAAGUGGUUUUGAUUCCAAAACAUCAAAAAUCCUGCAGGAUUUAAAGAUGUGAUUGUCCUCUUCAGGUCUCAUAGCAGCCAUGCAUUGCACCUGCUCAGACAGGCAGAGAUCUUCCUGCUCAUCUGAUGUUUUCAAAGGUCAGUUGUGCCAACAGGUGGUACCAGGGUGGUGGGUAGUGCUCAUUCCCAGACAUGUUCACAGUAGUGCCAGCAGAGCCAUUGGCACAGUGAGCCCCUUAUCUCCUGUCUGGGCUUGCAAACCAUCACCCAAGAAAGCAAUGGCCCUUUUGGGGCACCAGCAUCCCUGAUCCUCUCUCCAGAGCUGGGAAGGAGCUCUCUGAAGCUCUGUUGGUAUGAAGUGGUAUUCUGUAAUCUUUGGCAAAGACAAGGGGUACAGGAGGGGUGGAAAUAUGUUUGUGUUAAAGGGGGAGUGGUGUUGUAUCUGUUUUUAGCUCAUGGUAAAGGGGUGUUUGAUGAGGGAUAUUCUGAAUGAUGAAAGAGUUUGCUUCUUAUUUCUAAAAGGGGGGGGGAGCAAAAAGAAAACAAAACAACAAAAAAAACCAAACACUAAAAACCACCUACCUGUCAGACCUUGCUGAGAUUCUUUAAUUAAUGUACUGAGACUUGCUGUUAAGGUCAGGCAGAAACAGAUGUAUUAGCUAGGCCUGAAGUUUGAUCAGCUGUUCAAAGAUAAUUAAAC